UGAGGAAUAUUGGUCAAUGGACGAGAGUCUGAACCAGCCAAGUAGCGUGAAGGAUGACUGCCCUAUGGGUUGUAAACUUCUUUUAUAUGGGAAUAAAACGGGGUAUGCAUACCCUCUUGUAUGUACCAUAUGAAUAAGGAUCGGCUAACUCCGUGCCAGCAGCCGCGGUAAUACGGAGGAUCCGAGCGUUAUCCGGAUUUAUUGGGUUUAAAGGGAGCGUAGGUGGAUUGUUAAGUCAGUUGUGAAAGUUUGCGGCUCAACCGUAAAAUUGCAGUUGAAACUGGCAGUCUUGAGUACAGUAGA
rnacentral:rRNA from 1 species